rnacentral:lncRNA from 1 species
UACCAUUUGUUCGACUUGUUGUAUAUCUUGUAUCCUUGUAUAUGUGGUAGACUUAUGUUCUCGCUCUGAUUACCAUGUUUAGGAUUGAUUUCUAUUUCUUUCUAUGGUUGUUGUAGACGCCUUGUGUGCACCGGGGGUGCUUGGUGUACACAGCGGAUCUAUGCACGCGCCCGGUGGGCUUUCACUGGGGCCCGGGGCGUGAUAUGCCGAGGUGAAAAACAUUGAGGGAAGAGUGCAUUUGCACUGGUUAUAGAGUUAUCGCACUAUUUUCAUCAAAACAUUGCACUAAAUAGGUCAAUGUUACACCAUUUACAGCCUCUUUUGAACUGCUAUAUUCACGACAACAUAAAAUACAGAUAACAAUUUGCAUUUUUUUAGAUAUGAUUUUACCGUUGCUGCCAAAGUUGCGCUACUUGCUUAGCCGUGUGGUAUCUCUUUGCAAAUGAACGACUUGUCCUUCUCCUCCACUUCCUAACCUGAAAGUCGGCUCCUUCCUCCACGUUUCUUCCACUUCUCUUUUGAAACGCCCGAACACGGCGCGAGAGUGCUGGAAUAAACUAGCAGGCUUACAUGGAGGAG